AGGGUUCAGGGCCCACACAAACACGCAGAGAGAAUGAAGUGGCGGGACGUAGUUGUUCUCAUUGCAAAAAAUGAAAACUCUUUAGGAACGAAGCCCCGAUUUAUUCCGUUUUAAUCUUGUUGCUGAUCGGAAUCAUAAGCGUCAUGGACAGUCGUUCGUCUUUUCUUACGACUACAUUUCUUUUAAGGAAGUUGAAUCGGAUUCGACCAUCGCACAAAUGUGUAUGGUAUGGGUGGCUAGCCAGCCUGCCAAGCUAGUACGGCUAGCGCCAAGCUAACGAACGUUAGCAGAAACGUUAUAAUCGCCAGCAUAAUAUACAAGUUAAUGCAACAUCAGCAAUUAUACAGACAUGAGAAAUAUAUUCAAAUUCGCGCUAAAUUGAGGAUGUGUUUACCUUUGUUUAGAAAUUUUAAUCUUGGGUUGGGAUCCGGAAGGAUGAGCUAGCUAGCCACCCAGCGCUAUUAGCUUUAAGCUAGCUUGUUAUGGCUGCAUCCCUUCCUCUGCAGCAACGUAUUCGCCUCAUAUGACAGACCCGACCAAUACGUCAAUCGAAGUAUAAAACCAAGCAGCGGCUGGCUUUCCAAUGCUGCCACAUCCUGAAAAACAAGGAGCACAAGAUAGACCAUGUAUCCACUCAUGGAGGAGUUGUCUGUAUUUGCUGUCACCUAAAAACAACGUUUUAAUGUUUUAAUAAAAACACAUCUGAAUCAU